CUUCUUUUAUUUUGGUUUAACUAUUUCUCUUCUGGUAGCCAUAACAACAUUUACCGUAAUGCAUUUGUUACCUUCUACUCUAGCAUGCACGUAACUUAUGGAAUGUUAUGCUGUUAGCGCAUGCAAAUAGUUCCUUUUUCCCCUUGGCAUGCUUUCUGGUUGAUCAAAGAUAUAUUGUAUGUAGUACCUAGUAAAAGUAUGGUUUUAAAUCAUUUCAUAUACAACUGAAUAGGAAUAAAUUUUCUUUGCCCUCCUCUCUGUUCCUGCCCCUUUUUCCUUUAAGAUCUCUUAAUUGGUGCGAGUUGGGUCGUUUCCAUAAAAUAUGCACGCUCCAGAUAUUAUAUGGUGUGCUUACUUCAAAGAUAUGAUGCUUGCUAUUUUUAUUAUUUUGAAUAUUCAUAUUGGUCAACACUCCAGAGUUGUUUUUAAUGGGCAUGACAGUAUUAGGCCCAUCCUCUUUCACGACCCCCUGGUCCUUUUCUGGUCUUAAGGCUUGUCACCUUUCCAAAUAAACAGGCCCUGUUCUUCUGGUGGUUAUCAUUUCUCCAAGGUUCAUCUCUUAGCUCAGGAUGAAUCACUCUACAAGUACUAUUAUAAUGACCUGUAUUUUGUAGUGAGAGCAAAAAGCAUGAAUUGGUUCAUAUUCAACCUUUUGCAAGAAAUACUCCAUGUUCUCUCUAGGCCUCUAUAUUCCUGAUCUCCGCAGUAAUCUCACUCAGUAAUGGUUUUUCAAUAUCAAUCUCCACACGCAGCUUAGCACUAGUGGCUCUUGUCUUUGAUAGGGUAGCUUUAUCCAUGAUCAAGGGGACUCCUAUAGGUUCUACAAUGCGACAUGUAUCCCAUUCAUAGUAGUGCCAUGGAAGGUCUGGCAGAGUGUUCCAGCCAAGGGUUGUGGUGUUUACGGGUUCAGGUUUAAAAUUUGUAGUCCGUUUUAGAACUUUCAUCGCGUAGUCCCCUCCGAAUGUAAUGAAACUUCUAGAACUCACAUCAAUAUGUUCCUCAUUGUCGAAAUCAAUAAAAACAUGAUACAUAUCAUAAGCCCCAAUAGUAUUGCAGCCUUUUUCCGGAAUGAAAUUAGCAAGUUCGCGUCUGAUAAUGUUGUUAGAGAGUCGAGUCCGAGAAAAUUUACCUACAAUCGUCUACUUACAGCUCUGGGCAAGAGUAUCGUCUUCUUCUUUAGUGAAGACCUCUAUUGGUUUACUGCUCACCAUCUCGAACAGCCUGGAGUAAUCAUACUCUGUUUCUUGCUUUUGUUAAUAGCUUCUUUCUAAUCACAAUGGCAUAAGAGGUUUGUGAAGACUGAAGAGUCCCCUCCAUUUGUCUGCAGAUUGGUAUUGUUUGCGUCUAAAAAGGUAGAUUUGAGAAGUGUUAUUGUACCGUUAUAGAUAUUCGAUGGUUGACUCAGUUGGGGAUCUAGUGGAACACGUGAUGGGAGCUGAGAGAAAUCGAUCUGGUGAGAAUUAGUGGUAGCAUGUGAAAGGAGUAAAGACAUUGGGUCUGGGGGGAUCGGAGGUCGACCUUUGGAAACGUAUUACUGUUGUCAGAACAGUGUUAGGGUUUUAAUUAGGAGAGAAGAGAGUUUUCCGUAGCCUGAUCUACUUUGUUUUUUGGACAUAUAUGUAUAUGUAAAGAGCAUGCUCAUGUUGCAACAAAAUAUGAUAGUUGAACUUUAUUUAUCCACUUUAUUGCACAAUAAAAUAUGAUAAUUUUGAUAAUGCAACACCGAACUAUUAAAACUUUUGCAAAAGCAAAAGAAACAACAACAACAACAACAACAAUUAUUUAACUUAGACAGACAAGCUCACUAGAAAAAAUGACCACUAACCACAUAAUUUGUACAAUAGACAUGGAAUUCACUAGCUAAACUUGUUAAAGUUGCAGCACCCAUGGUUUAUUGGGGACUACUAUAACACAAUCAGUGUAUCCAAUGAGAAGCUCACACGAGUAUUACUUCUAUCGUUAUUCUUGAGUUUCUUUUGCUUCUGUUAUGAAUGGGAGAAGGAGAAUUGUAUGUAUUCUCCAAAUAUUUGGUUGUCUGUUAUCGUUAGAAUUUCACCUUACCUUUUAUUUUUGCGCAUCACUUUAUAUGGAUAUUUUUUUCAUAUUUUUGUUGGGACUGGAAAUUUUUUUGGGACGAGAACUUUCUCUGAGAUUGUUUCGGUAUUUUUGGAUUUCUAAUAAAGUUGGGAAUUUUUGACUUCUUAUGCUGCAACUAUUAGCUGUUCAUUAUUACUAGUCAUAUCUCUCUUGCAUUAUUAGAGUAUGCUAAUUGCCAUAUCUCUUGCACUAUUAGCUUUAAUUGUGUCACAAUGGUGUUACUUAGGAUUGAAUCUCAAUUAAAUAUUUAUGCACUUGUGUGUUCUUUGUAGAGCUUUAUAUUGUUCAUAUUCAUUGUGUUAUUCUGAUUCAAGAUUGGGUUUCUAGGGUUGCCAUUAAGUGGUGAUGGAUAUUUCUGAGGCCAAGGACAUGUCAUAGUGCGUUAAAGUUGCUCUAAACAUUAGACCACUUCUUACUUCUGAGCUUCUCAUUGGAUGCACUGAUUGUGUUACUUUUGAGCUUCUCAUUGGAGAAAAAUGUUGAACUUAAUUAUAUUUUGGUUUGUGAGCUAUGGAUGACUGUUUUCUGUAAAGCACAUAGAGCUUGUUUCCCCUUCACCGCCAGAGGCCGAGACUUCUACGUUUGAUGUUGUUGGUCCAGCAUGCGAGUCUGCAGAUUUCUUGGGAAGGAACGGGAACUUCCUACUCCUCCCAGGGGCACUGGUUUGGUAGUUCAUGAUGCAGGUGCUUACUGCAUGAGUAUGGCAUCAACAUACAAUCUCAAGAUACGCCCACCUGAAUAUUGGGUAGAAGAAGAUGGAUCCAUCUCCAAAUCCGACAUGGAGAGACAUUUGAAGACCAUCUGAGAUUCUUUGAGGGUCUGUAAAACUCAUUUUCAGCCGUUUACACAUCAUUUACAUGAAGGCAGGAUGUGAAUCGUAAUUGUCGGUGUGCUGCAGUCCUGUCUAAGUGAUCUUUGUGAUCUAGAUUCUAUUUAUUUUUUUCCCUUCUCUAGACUUUGUGAUCCAGAUUCUUUUUUCUUUUUUUUCUUUUUUAAUGUGUUCUUCCGGUCACAAAGCAUAACAUGGAAUUUCUACGCCGUGUUUACAUCAAAUUACAUUAGUUUAUUCAUGGUUAAAUAAUAUAGAGGUUAUAUAUAGAGAGAGAGUGUGCAAUCCAUGGUUAAAUGGCAUGAAUGCAUGUAAAAGAAUAUAUGUAACUUGUUUCCAAUUGGUGUAAACAAUGUAUGGGGGCAAGUUCUUUUU